GACGAGAGAGACAGUGAGCAGGACUGUCAUCACCUGGCUAUUAGGAGCGCCCUCUCUCUGUGUCUCUUCUCUCCAGUGAGUCUGAGUUCCCAGCCAACCUUCAGCCAUGAAGAUAUUUUACCUGCUCUUUGCUGUUGUCUUCUUGGUGCUCAUAGAUGCACCAGGAUUCUCCCAGGCCCGGGUGACCCCAGGGGGAUGUAAACGCUAUGGGGGUUCCUGCUUCUUUUGGCGAUGUCCCACCCCUUCUACAUACUUUGACAAAUGCAUUCCAGUUGGCCAUUGCUGCGUAAAGCAAUAGUUUGACUGAUUGUCUCUGGGAAUUUGGCAGACAGCCACUUGCUUCUAAAAUCAUCAGAUCCUGCCUCAAUGGAAUCUUGAAGUGCUGUCCAGUUCAUUGAGAAAAAACCUUGUGAGCUGGAGAAAUUCCAGAAGGGAGCCUUUGCAUCACCCAUAUAAGAUUUGUUACUCUCCUUUUAAUAAAAGCAAGUUGGUGUGAGA